CCGUAGGUGAACCUGCGGAAGGAUCAUUAUUGAAUAUAAACUUGGAUAGACUGCUGCUGGCUUCUCUUUGAGGGGCAUGUGCACGUUUGUCCUCUUUAUUUUUCCACCUGUGCACCUUUUGUAGGCUUGGAUUAUCACUGGUUCUAUAAUGUGUCUUUCAAAGGCAUAAGAAUUGUUUUGGGGCUGCUGUGUUUAAACGCAUGUUUAUCAGCUUUCCCUUUUAUUUUCCAAGUCUAUGUUUGCUAUAUACACUCCAGAAAUGUAAUAGAAUGCUGUACUUUAGGUCAUUUGUACCUAUAAUAAAAAUCAGUACAACUUUCAGCAACGGAUCUCUUGGCUCUCGCAUCGAUGAAGAACGCAGCGAAAUGCGAUAAGUAAUGUGAAUUGCAGAAUUCAGUGAAUCAUCGAAUCUUUGAACGCAUCUUGCGCUCCCUGGUAUUCCAAGGAGCAUGCCUGUUUGAGUAUCAUUAAAUUAUCAACUGUGCCAAUUUGGUUACAGAUUGGAUGUGGGAGAUUUCUUGCAGGCUUUUGACUUUCUCUUUGAGAAGGAAAAGAAAAAAGCCAGCUCUCCUGAAAUGUAUUAGCAGUGCCUUUGUUGGUUCAUUAGGUGUGAUAAUUUAUCUACAUCUUCAAAUGGUACCUUCAUUUGUAAAGGUCAUAUUGCUUCUAAUUGUCUUUGGGACAAAACACGUAUAAUGCGUGACAGACUUGAUCUCAAAUCAGGCAGGACUACCCGCUGAACUUAAGCAUAUCAAUAAGCGGAGGAA
rnacentral:rRNA from 1 species